UACGGAGGGGGCAAGCGUUGUUCGGAGUCACUGGGCGUAAAGGGCGCGUAGGCGGUGGAGCGAGUCAGGCGUGAAAGCCCCGGGCUUAACCUGGGAAUUGCGCUUGAUACUGCUUUGCUUGAGACCGGGAGAGGAUGGCGGAAUUCCCAGUGUAGAGGUGAAAUUCGUAGAUAUUGGGAAGAACACCGGUGGCGAAGGCGGCCAUCUGGACCGAAUCUGACGCUGAGGCGCGAAAGCGUGGGGAGCAAACAGG
rnacentral:rRNA from 1 species